AAACCGGAGGGAGGUGGGGAUGACGUCAAGUCCUCCUAUGGCCCUUAUGGUAGGGCUUCACACGUCAUACGAAUAGGUCGGUACAGAGGGUUGCCAAGCCGCGAGGUGGAAGCCCAAUACCCUUAAAGCCGAUCGUAGUCCGGAUCGUAGUCUGCAACUCGACUACGUGAAGUCGGAAUCGCUAGUAAUCGCAGAUCAGCAUGCUGCGGUGAGUACCGGUUCCCGGGCCUU
rnacentral:rRNA from 1 species